rnacentral:rRNA from 1 species
GGAUGGUCACCCACACUGGGACUGAGACACUGCCCAGACUCCUACGGGAGGCUGCAGUCGAGGAUCAUUUGCAAUGCGCGAAAGCGUGACAAUGCGACGCUGCGUGGAGGAUGAAGGCCUUCGGGUUGUAAACUCCUGUCAUUCGGGAAAAACGGCCCGGCCCUUAAUACGGGUUAGGUGUGAUGGUACCGGAAGAGGAAGCCACGGCUAACUCUGUGCCAGCAGCCGCGGUAAUACAGAGGUGGCAAGCGUUGUUCGGAUUCACUGGGCGUAAAGCGUGCGUAGGCGGUCUCGCAUGUCGGAUGUGAAAGCCCACUGCUCAACGGUGGAACUGCAUCCGAAACUGCGGGGCUAGAGUGCAGGAGGGGAGAGCGGAAUUCUUGGUGUAGCGGUGAAAUGCGUUGAUAUCAAGAAGAACACCGGUGGCGAAGGCGGCUCUCUGGAAUGUAACUGACGCUGAGGCACGAAAGCUGGGGGAGCAAACAGGAUUAGAUACCCUGGUAGUCCCAGCCGUAAACGGUGCGCACUUGGUGUUGGCGGUAUUGACCCCGCCAGUGCCGGAGCUAACGCGUUAAGUGCGCCGCCUGGGGAGUACGGCCGCAAGGUUAAAACUCAAAGAAAUUGACGGGGGCCCGCACAAGCGGAGGAGCAUGUGGCUUAAUUCGAUGCAACGCGAAGAACCUUACCUGGGCUUGACAUGUAGCUGCACGCCCGCUGAAAGGCGGGAAGCCUUCGAGGGUGCUACACAGGUGCUGCAUGGCUGUCGUCAGUUCGUGCUGUGAGGUGUUGGGUUAAGUCCCGCAACGAACGCAACCCCUAUGGUUAGUUGCCACCGGCGGUGAUGAGCCGCCGAGCACUCUAGCCAGACUGCCUGUACAAGCAGGAGGAAGGUGGGGACGACGUCAAGUCAGUAUGGCCCUUACGUCCAGGGCUGCACACGUGCUACAAUGGCCGGUACAGAGGGCUGCAAUACCGCGAGGUGGAGCUAAUCCCCAAAACUGGCCUCAGUUCGGAUUGGAGUCUGCAACUCGACUCCAUGAAGUCGGAUUCGCUAGUAACGGCGCAUCAGCUACGGCGCCGUGAAUACGUUCCCGGGCCUUGUACACACCGCCCGUCACAUCAUGAAAGCCGUCUGCACCCGAAGUCGCUGAGCCAACCCGCAAGGGAGGCAGGUGCCGAAGGUGUGGGUGGUGAUUGGGAUGAAGUCGUAACAAGGUA